AGCGAACGCUGGCGGUAGGCCUAACACAUGCAAGUCGAACGGCAGCACAGUAAGAGCUUGCUCUUACGGGUGGCGAGUGGCGGACGGGUGAGGAAUACAUCGGAAUCUACUUUUUCGUGGGGGAUAACGUAGGGAAACUUACGCUAAUACCGCAUACGCCCUACGGGUGAAAGCAGGGGAUCUUCGGACCUUGCGCGAUUGAAUUAGCCGAUGUCGGAUUUGUUAGUUGGGGGGGUAAAGGCCCACCAAGGCGACGAUCCGUAGCUCGUCUGAGAGGAUGGUCGGCCGCACUGGAACUUGGACACGGUCCAGACGCCUACGGGAGGCAGCAGUGGGGAAUAUUGGACAAUGGGGGCAAGCCUUAUACAGCCAUACCGCGUGGGUGAAGAAGGCCUUCGGGUUGUAAAGCCCUUUUGUUGGGAAAGAAAAGCAGCAGGUUAAUACCCCGCUGUUCUGACGGUACCCAAAGAAUAAGCACCGGCUAACUUCGUG
rnacentral:rRNA from 1 species